AGCCUGUAGAACUUCCGGCAGCAACUGCAAUUAGGGGUAGUCCAGUGCUAAAUUGUCGCAGCCUUGAAAAUAUUCUGCUUCGUUAUUUCGGGCACUCCACAGAUUCUGUUGCGAAGGCAGCCAUCUUUAGUUCGUCUUUCCUAGAGAGCGUUGAGAAGAUUCUGCUCCAUUUUUUCUGAUUAUGGAUUCUGUUCAGAAGGAAGCCGAAUUUUAAGUCAUCGUUCUAGGAUAGAUUCAGCUCCAUUUUCUCUGGUGGUAGAUCUCCAUGGAUGCUAUUGAGAAGGUACUUCUCAAAGUCCACGAGGACAAGGACAUCUUUCCACCGAAUGCCACCUGGUUUAUAACAAAAGGUUUGUCAUCAUUUAAGUCAUUGUUCACCUGUUGGUAAUAUGUCCUUAUUUCUCUCGCAAUAUUGGUAGAUAGACAUUUGUUCACUUCAUUAAUAUUCUUCAUAUUUCAUGUAUAUGUCAAAUACGUAGCAUGCUAAAGUAUUUCAAAAUUUUAUAGCUAUUUUUAAUUAAAAUUAUUUAUAUAAACUAAUUAAUUCAUAUAAAUAAAAUAAUUUCACUGACAGUAAAAACAAAAUUAAGCAGAGGAAAAGCUAGCAUAAAAGUAACAGAAGCCAAAGAAAUCCAGGUUUCUUUCUUAUUAUAAUACAGAUUUGAACAAAUUAUAUAAAAAAUUUAAAAAUAUAAGCAUAGUUCUGAACAAAAUAUCAAAA
rnacentral:lncRNA from 1 species